GUGUAUUUAUUUAUUAAAAAAAAUCAAAGCCCAUACUUAUAGCGUAAACAGAAAAAAUAAAUCAAUGCAGCCCAAUAUCAGAGCCUAUCGAGAACCUUCUACACCCUUUUAGGGUUCAUUGCUCAAAUACUCUCUCAUUUUAGGGUUUGAAGAUGAAUCAGCGCCGCUACUCCCUUCAUCUUCUCCCUCGUUUCUUUUCUACCCCAAACCUUCCUCUGUCUUCUGCUACAUCCCUCGGUUUUCUUCUCCCAACCAAACCUUCCUCCUCCUUCCAAAUGCGCCGCUCAACACACUCAAACCAGACGCUCACUCUCCUUUUUCUCCUCCGGUGGUUUAGCGACGACGCCGAUUUUCUCCCUCUCAAUCACUCUCCCUAGUCCAAACCACCGACUCCGCCGUCACAUCUAGGCGGUGUCGCCUUCCUCCUCGGUGACGACGAAUGUGCUGCGGCCUCCCUCUGCACAGCCCGUAUCCAGCCACCGCCGUCCCGUUUUCGAACGACGGAGUCGCCCAAGCCCUAGGGUCCAGAUAUCGUCCCCUUUCUCGUCUAUCUUAGAGAUAAUACUUCCAUUCUCCAUUGACAGCAAGUCUUCAUCUGUGGAGAAAAUUCCUAAAUAUUAGCUAUGUAUAAAAUUGAAAUAAGUAUUGUAAUACUUUAGUAUUUGAGUUGUAAUUGAGAUUAAUAGUAAA